CUGCAGAACGGUAAAACGUACGCAGAAGGUUGCAGCGCCGCAAAUGGGAGCCCGACCGACCGCCGGUAGCCCGGAGAUCCACCGCUCGCCGCCCUAAGCCGAGAACCAGCGCCGGCGCCGCCCUCCCCACCGUAUCCCCAGAUCGGAACCAAACAACGGAGAGAGAUAGCAGCGAUCGAGGCAGGGAAGCCGUUCUCGCCACCGCCUCCUCGCCGCCGUUCUUCACCCGGACGCAAGACCUAGCGCCGCCGCGACGCCUCCUGCGUCCGUCACCGGCGUGGCCGGAGACCGCCGACUCUCUGCCGGAUUGACGAGAAAAUAGCGCAGCCCGUCCGCCGGUCCAACAGUUACCUUCAUUCUGAAGCGUUGUGGACUUGUGGCAAAGAUCGUAGUACUUUCUUGAUCAGCUUCUGUUGAGAAAAUGGUUUGCCAAUCACAGCUGCUCGAUUUGCAAGUUCUUGAACCCGUUCAUUAAAAGUUACAAUGUUCUCAUCAUCAUGCAUCCGAAGUUCCUCAAAGUCAGAUUGGAUUAAUUGAAGUUUUGACUGUUUGACAGAAUUAGUGCCUUCGUAGGUAGUUUCUAUAAUCUCCCAUGCAAUUUUUGCUGAGUUACAACAUGUCACUAAAGUAAAUUGGCUUUCAUGCACUAGAGAAAAAUUAAUGUCAAGAGCUUUAUUAUUAUAGCCGGUUGCAGUCA